UACGUAGGUGGCAAGCGUUGUCCGGAUUUACUGGGCGUAAAGAGCGCGCAGGCGGUCGUGCAAGUCGCGUGUGAAAGCCCCCGGCUCAACUGGGGAGGGUCACGCGAUACUGCUCGACUCGAAGGCAGGAGAGGGAAGUGGAAUUCCCGGUGUAGUGGUGAAAUGCGUAAAUAUCGGGAGGAACACCAGUGGCGAAGGCGACUUCCUGGCCUGUUCUUGACGCUGAGGCGCGAAAGCUAGGGUAGCAAACGGG
rnacentral:rRNA from 1 species